UACGUAGGGGGCAAGCGUGUCCGGAUUUAUUGGGCGUAAAGAGCGUGUAGGCGGCCAGGGAGGUCCGUUGUGAAAACUCGAGGCUCAACCUCGAGACGCCGAUGGAAACCCCCUGGCUAGAGUCCGGAAGAGGAGAGUGGAAUUCCUGGUGUAGCGGUGAAAUGCGCAGAUAUCAGGAAGAACACCCGUGGCUAAGGCGGCUCUCUAGUACGGUACUGACGCUGAGACGCGAAAGCGUGGGGGAGCGAAACAGGG
rnacentral:rRNA from 1 species